AAUAAGUGCAGUUUUACAACAUUUAAUUAUUCAUUUUAUUUUAAAAAUUUUUAUGAUUAGUAUUUUUUUUAUUGUAUUAUAAAACACGAAUAGUACUUUAUGCGUAACUAAUUUUUUUUAAUUUUUUCAUAAGAAUGGUCAAACGUUGGACACGGAUAUUCAUGACUGCGCUUAUU
rnacentral:pre_miRNA from 1 species